UACGUAGGGGGCAAGCGUUGUCCGGAUUACUGGGCGUAAAGCGCGUGUAGGCGGAAGCGAAAGUCCGGUGUGAAAGCCCCCCGCUCAACGGGGGAAGGUCGCUGGAAACUGCGCUUCUUGAGGGCGGCAGAGGGAAGUGGAAUUGCUGGUGUAGCGGUGAAAUGCGUAGAGAUCAGCAGGAACACCCGUGGCGAAGGCGGCUUCCUGGGCCGCGCCUGACGCUGAGACGCGAAAGCGUGGGGAGCGAACGGG
rnacentral:rRNA from 1 species